GAUGAACGCUGGCGGCGUGCUUAACACAUGCAAGUCGAGCGGGCAAUUUAUCUAGCACUGAUUACUUCAAAUGGAAAUCAUAAGUGUAAUCAUGAAUUUCUACCUUUAAUAAAGAAAAAAGAAAUUCAUGUACGCAAAUAGUGAUAACACAUUUUAGUGAAGUGAUGAGUGCUGGAUAAAUUGCUAGCGGCGGACGGGUGCGUAACACGUGGGUAACCUGCCCCUAUCACUGGGAUAACACACUGAAAAGUGUGCUAAUACCAGAUAAUAUAAGCUUUUGGCAUCAUUAGCUUAUCAAAGAAUUUCGGAUAGGGAUGGGCCCGCGUCUGAUUAGCUAGUUGGUGAGGUAACGGCUCACCAAGGCAACGAUCAGUAGCCGACCUGAGAGGGUGAUCGGCCACACUGGAACUGAGACACGGUCCAGACUCCUACGGGAGGCAGCAGUGGGGAAUAUUGCACAAUGGGC
rnacentral:rRNA from 1 species